AUUGAACGCUGGCGACAGGCCUAACACAUGCAAGUCGAACGAGUGGCGGACGGGUGAGUAAUGUCUGGGAAACUGCCUGAUGGAGGGGGAUAAAUACUGGAAACGGUAGCUAAUACCGCAUACCAUCGGAUGUGCCCAGAUGGGGUUAGCUAGUAGGUGGGGUAAAGGCUCACCUAGGCGACGUUCCCUAGCUGGUCUGAGAGGAUGACUAGCCACACUGGAACUGAGGACCGGUCCAGACUCCUACGGGAGUCAGCAGUGGGGAAUAUUGCACAAUGGGCGCAAGCCUGAUGCAGCCCGGCCGCGUGUAUGAAGAAGGCCGUCGGGUUGUAAAGUACUUUCAGCGGGGAGGCGUUACCCGCAGAAGAGGCACCGGCUAACUCCGUGCCAGCAGCCGCGGUAAUUC
rnacentral:rRNA from 1 species